rnacentral:lncRNA from 1 species
UUUGUAGUUUUGUCAGUGUCACGCCCGCUCAGGUGAACAGGUCUCACUCGAUGACCACAAACUUACUGUCACAACACAAGCGAACGCUUCGCACCGGAUUUCCGAAACCUUUAGCUUACACGACAAGCACCACUAGAUGUGCGGGAACUCAAUGUGCAUAAAAGCUACAACCCUCUUGGAUAAGCCUUGACACUUGCCACGAAGUGAUUAUUAGCAAGAUACAUAGCGUGGCCCGCGUAUGGAUGCACGCGAGGAGAGGGCAGGGAGGCGUAGGUUCCUGCCCCCCAUCCCCUCACGCGUGCUUGAUCAUGUUACCAUGUGUUCACUCCCAUCCCAUCUCCCUUGUGCAAAAGGAAUUGUCAGCACUUGUGUUUAAGGAGUACAAAUUUUUGGGCUCGGUUGGUUGCAGUAAUAGAGGUCAUAGCGCUGAAUUGACACGGACAAGAAAUAUGACAGGGUGUGCACUAUCAGCUGAUUUUAUUUCAGAAGGGUAUGGUACUUAUAUCGAUGAAAGGAAUACAAAGUAGAAAUCGCAUAUGCAAACCAGCAUUUUCCAAAUAGGCAAUUUCUCUUCCGCUCAAAGCUAGCAUCGGGGAACUGAUGCAAUUAGCACCCUUUUUUGUGAUCAACCUUGCUUCAACAAUUUCCUGCGUAUCCUUAUCUGCAUUUUCUAUACAUGAUGGAAGAAUGAUUAAACAGUGGUUCACACCCACAAUCGUCACAGUGCAGUGAAACAUGCCCAACUCGAGAACAUUCCAGUUUAGUGAGGACCUUCAUUUAAGUCAUGUUUUCAGUGAGGACUGACAACUUACAAUUGCCAUUCAGAGUGAUUGUGUCGUACGUGGCAGAAUGCACUUGCAUGUUUUCUGCAAGAUACGCUUAGCUUGUUCUGUACUGAAGAAACUUUCCUGGUCACAAGUUCAAAUGAAGUAGAUCACCAAAGAAAUAUCACCAAAGAAAUGUUGGUCUGCUCUAUUGGAUAUGCAUUGGUACUACUUUAUGCCUCAAGAUGCCCCAAUGCGAUGUAUUGAAGACUGCGUAUAUUACUAUGGCAUAAUCGCAUUUCAAACUCUUGACAGACAUUUUAUCUAAGGUCAACCUAUGUUGAAUGUGACGGGCUCAUCUAUUUUCAGAAGGAAGGAGUCUGUAUUGGGUCAUGCCUAGUCCCCUGCCUUGAGCGACGAUCUGUUUCUCGGAUACCAUGACAGACGUCUAAAAGGAAAAAUGGAGGCAUUAGAGAUUUUACAAAUUGUUUGGUAUGUGGACUACCUAGUGCUGUAUGAAUUCAAUUCAAAUAACAAUGAAACAGUGACUGAUGUGGCUGCCUUGUUCUGGGAGUGUAGUGUCUUGACAAUCUGGUUAUUACACAUGAGCUACCUAUGAGUAACGCCAUCCACUUUCUAGGUAUCAAACUUAUUUUGUCUGCCAAUCGCUGCUGAUGAGAAUAUCACCCUUGGGAGAAAAAGAUGCUUCCGCAUGCUUUGUCACAUUAAAAACUGGUGAAGUGAGUAAUUACAAACUCGUGUUUUGUGAAUGCACUUCCAUCUGACCUUGAUUCCUUCGUGGCUGAAUGAUUGCACUGCCACAUCAUAUCGCUCUAGCAAUGUUCGUAUAAAUAAACUGGACAUGUGGAAGAGAGAA